ACUCUGGCCAUUGAUUUGCUGGCUGCCUGCUCGCAGCGCCCCGCCGCGACGCGAGUCACAGACAAGACAGGCAGGCAGUCAGUUUGCCCGAAGCUCUUGUACCGCUCGGGCGUUCGCGUUCACGUCGGUAGCUGGACACUCAGUGUGUCUUUGUGCCUUGUCUACUCGCCCCACGCCGCAAGCUUGUCACCGUGGGUGUCGUGCUUGAACGCCAAGCUGUGCCUGUGCUCCAGACUCCGCAACGCGACGUUGCCCCUUUGUGAUCCAGGCGAACCAGCUUUAAGUUUGUGAUUUUUACCUUCAGUGAGGUGUGAACUGAGUGAUACCGUCGACGGUGUUGUUGUCUUGGUGACGAACUCGAAGCACCGACUUGCUGAGGGCUUUGCCGUCCUCCUCCAGCGCGUUGGCUGUGCGAUGGCCAUUCCUAACCUCUCUGUGAGGUUGUAAUUUCUUGUGAACAAGUGUACCCGGGUCUCACCCGCUCUAGCUGGCCAUGUACAGCAUGAACUACAUCGGAAAGUUCAUCAGCAACUUCCGAGACUUCUACAAUGAAAUCAACACAGCAACUCUUACGGGUGCCAUUGAUGUCAUCAUCGUUGAACAACCUGAUGGAACCUUCACCUGCUCUCCAUUCCAUGUGCGCUUUGGAAAGCUUGGAGUUCUCCGCAGUCGUGAGAAAGUGGUGGACAUCGAGGUGAAUGGCGAGCCCCUGGACAUCCACAUGAAGCUGGGCGACUCGGGCGAGGCCUUCUUCGUGGAGGAGGUGUCGUCGGACGAGCUGAGCGACGAGGUGCCGCCGCACCUGGCCUGCUCGCCCAUCCCCACGGAGGGGGGCUUCCCCGCCCACUACCACGAAACCACCCUCGACCCGCUCGGCACUCUGGGGCCGCUGGCAGCCCAGCAGCAGACCGAGGAGUGGUCCAGGAGGAGGUGCAACUCUGAGGUUGUGAAGCGUACUCCAAAGGAGGCACCGAUCCAGAAGUUUGCACAGGAUGACAUAGACGAGCACAAACCAAGCAGUGAAAUUACAUAUGAUUGGGCUCAUGACUACAGCGCGACACCGGAAUUUGUUAGUAAUGAAGGGUUCUCGAAACUGGCUGCUCCCGCAAGCACCUCAGUAGAAACUCCCACUGCGACACCUGGUUCUGUGGCGAAAACCUUCAAGGCGGAAACUGUCAGCCCAUCUGAAAAUGGUGAAAGGGCUCGUAAACUCAGCACAGUAUCUGCUGAGUUCAGGCCCAUCUCUGACAGCUUGCCUAGCGGGUCACCCCCCAGUGGAAUUAAAUCACAAAGUACCAGUGUAGAAGUUGUAACCACUCCUGAAGAUGGUCCUGAGGAAAGUUCCAAGUCUUCUGUUAACAAAAGAAGAAGACGGAAGAGAAGUGUGAUGAAGAAGAAGGGUAAUGGUGCACCCACACCGCAGCGUAAAAAUAGUGAAGCAGGAGAAGCCUCUGAUACGAGUGCAUCAGUGGUUUGGGAGUCUGCAACUAGUAUCUUGUCCUCUGGCAAGCCCAAUAGUGAAGUUGCUGUGUUCACCAUGGAUGAUGUUGAUGGACUUCAGAGAACUUCACUUUCCCCCAGCAGUUCCACUGCUGCUGACACGAUAUCUAUUGACUCACCAACAUCUUCUUUAGAUCAUAACAAGGCUUCAGCAAAUUUAGCUGCUGAGAUUUCUAGAGACUUAUCCAAAGUGCAAAAUUCUGCUACAGAUUUUCACUUUUUUAGUGACACUGAAACCCUACCGGGAAACAACAGCAGGGGAUCUGAAACGAUUUUAAGUCGCAACCUCCGUUCUGCAAGUGAUGGGAUCUUGGCCUCCAUUCCUGUGACUAAACCAAUUAACGUUCCACUUGCUAUUCCCGUCCCUGUGUCACCAUCUCUACUAAAAUUUUUCCCUGACGAAGAGGACUCGAGACCAUGCUCACCCAUUCAGUCAGACACUGAAUUUGAAACCAACAAGAGGCCGGGAGGUGUGAAUGCAUCAGGUCCGUCUGCAGACUCGGCUUCUGGAGUUCCGCAGUCCUGGAGGUGGGGCGAGCUUCCUUCCCCGCCACCCAAGCAGAGUGGUGCUGGUGCCGACCGCACAGCAAACACCAGCUCCGAUGAUGAAGUUGCAAAGCAGCAAGAUAAUGCUGCUGCGCAAAAGUCAAUGCUGAGUGGAAUGUUCAGCUUCAUGAAGAAAACUAAGCGCAUUCGGCACAAUCCUGAGUCUGAGGGAAUAUAUUUGUCCGAGUUGAACGUGGAGGAUUUGGAUCCUGAAGUGGCUGCCUUGUACUUUCCAACCUCUUAUCAACGUCAGGGCUGCCCUGCCCCAGGAGAAUGUACAUCAUUGCAAAGGGAUGAAGAUGCUGAAUCUGGCAAUGGUCCAUCUCUACCUCAAUCUCCUCACAGUGUUGAAGGUGCCAUUGGGGGUCCUAAGUCUGUUGACAGUGAUUUUGAAGACUCCAAACAUUCCUUCUUGGAUAAGAAUAACUUUGGGGAUGUAUCAUUGUCCCUUUGUGGCAACAUUAAUUCUCCUAGCAGUUCGAUUGCUGAGAAAUUCUUGCAAAAUCUUGUCACUUUCCAAGACCUCAUUAAUAAUCCGAAAAUUUUGGAAGAUCCAAAUCUUGUGGUGAGAUAUGAUGGUCAAUACUACAACAUGAAAGCUGCUUCACCUCUAAUAGUAUCACUAAUGGUUUUCCGUCGACCUCUUCCUCAAGAUGUUUUAAAAUCGUUGACCAAUGAGUACAUGCCAAACUCUCCUAAUAAUGUUAAUGCUCAACAAGCCAAGCAACCAGAAAAUGUUGCUGGAGGUAGAGGAUACUCCUCAUGGUUUUAUUGGCGCCGUAAUGAACCAAAGAAAAUGGCUUCAGACUCAGCUGUUGGAUCCUCAUCCAGCUUUGAGAGUGAGCCAGCUAACAUGACUGCAUCUGCAAGCACCAUUUUGGAGAUGCCUGACGACACUUACCGUGUAGGAGAAGCCACUGAUCGCGAUGGCCGUCCAUUGACUUUGGAUAUCCCUUCUGCUGGCACUCAAGUUACUCUACCACAUGAAGGAACCUCCGCUCAAGACCGGGGAUUGCAUGGUCUGCGAGAUUCAAAAGACGCACUUCGCGAAGAAGGCUACAAUGGAUCAAAUUCAUCUGACUCAGAUGAUGCCCAGAGGAACAAAAGUGGAGUGAAAAUACCUGUUGAAAGAAGAAGUUAUUACCAAGCACCUGAAAAGUACAGGAAAACACUUAGGCUGUCCUCUGAGCAGAUUGCUCUGCUGAACCUUCAAGAAGGUACAAAUGAAGUGGUUUUCAGUGUCACCACAGCGUAUCAAGGAACAACGAGAUGUAAAUGCAACAUCUAUAAAUGGAGAUAUGAUGACAAAAUAGUAAUUUCUGACAUUGAUGGCACCAUCACUAAGUCUGAUGUGUUGGGCCACAUUCUUCCUAUUGUGGGUAAAGAUUGGGCUCAGAGUGGAGUUGCCCAACUGUUCACAAAAAUUCAAAACAAUGGCUACAGGCUCCUGUACCUGUCAGCUCGAGCUAUUGGUCAGGCUCGCGUUACUCGCGAAUACCUUCGCUCCAUCAAGCAAGACGAUCUCUCAUUACCUGAUGGGCCUCUUCUGCUCAACCCUACAAGCCUAAUGAGUGCCCUUCACAGAGAAGUCAUUGAGAGAAAGCCAGAGGAAUUCAAGAUUUCGUGUCUCAGAGACAUUCAAGCCCUAUUCCCAAGUCACUGUAAACCAUUCUAUGCUGGUUAUGGUAACAAAAUAAAUGAUGUUUGGGCGUACAGAGCUGUUGGCAUCCCAAUAUUCCGCAUCUUUACUAUCAACCACCGAGGGGAACUCAAACACGAGUUGACUCAAACCUUCCAAUCAUCUUAUUCUGGGCAGAGUUGUAUAGUCAAUGACCUCUUCCCUGUUCUGACGUGUUGAGGAGGAAAAGCAACAUCCAUCCCAACUCACUUUAGAUUAACUUAAAAUAAAUACAAAUAUGAAAUAUUUUUAUUUAACAUUCUUUGAAAACAUGUCAAUACUCUGAAUAUUUGUUCGCAAAUCUCUCUUCUGUUAUGCAUAAUGCCUUUUGAAAUUGGUUUUAGCUUGUAGAUAGUACUGUAUUUGGUAGUUGGUAUGGAUGCAUUGCAUUACCAUCGCAACUCAUUUUUACAUGUUACCUGAAUAUGAGCUGUAUUGUGGACCAGAUGUUCCCAGCUCGCAUUGAAGACACCUCAGAAGACUACACAAGUUUUGUGUUUUGGCGAGAACCUGUUGAAGAUGUUCAAAUUGACAUUGAUAAGACAGCAGCAAC
rnacentral:misc_RNA from 1 species